UUUAAUUUAAUUGAAUUUAAUUUAAUCCCACUCGGCUGGCUCAGUGUCCCUUUGCUCAGUGUCCCUAAGGCUCAGUGUCCCAGCGCUCAGUGUCUGUGCUCAUUUUCCCUGUGGCUCAGUGUCCCCGUGCUCAGUGUCCCUAAGGCUCAGUGUCCCAGCGCUCAGUGUCUGUGCUCAUUUUCCCUGUGGCUCAGUGUCCCCGUGCUCAGUGUCCCUAAGGCUCAGUGUCCCCCGUGCUCAUUGUCCCUGUGCUCACUGUCCCCGUGCUCACUGUCCCUGUGCUCAGUGUCCCUGUGCUCAGUGUCCCUUUGCUCACUGUCCCUGUGCUCACUGUCCCUGUGCUCAGUGUCCCUAAGGCUCAGUGUCCCCGUGCUCAGUGUCACUGUGCUCACUGUCCCUGUGCCCACUGUCCCUGUGCUCAGUGUCCCUGUGGCUCAGUGUCACUGUGGCUUAUUGUCGCUGUGCUCACUGUCCCCGUGCUCACUGUCCCUGUGUCUCACUGUCCCCGUGCUCAGUGUCCCCGUGCUCAGUGUCCCCGUGCUCAGUGUCCCCGUGCUCAGUGUCCCCGUGCUCAGUGUCCCCGUGCUCAGUGUCCCCGUGCUCAGUGUCCCCGUGCUCAGUGUCCCCGUGCUCAGUGUCCCCGUGCUCAGUGUCCCCGUGCUCAGUGUCCCCGUGCUCAGUGUCCCCGUGCUCAGUGUCCCCGUGCUCAGUGUCCCCGUGCUCAGUGUCCCCGUGCUCAGUGUCCCCGUGCUCAGUGUCCCCGUGCUCAGUGUCCCCGUGCUCAGUGUCCCCGUGCUCAGUGUCCCCGUGCUCAGUGUCCCCGUGCUCAGUGUCCCCGUGCUCAGUGUCCCCGUGCUCAGUGUCCCCGUGCUCAGUGUCCCCGUGCUCAGUGUCCCCGUGCUCAGUGUCCCCGUGCUCACCCCCCCCCCCCCCCCCCCCCCCCCCCCCCCCCCCCCCCCCCCCCCCCCCCCCCCCCCCCCCCCCCCCCCCCCCCC
rnacentral:lncRNA from 1 species